CCUACGGGAGGCAGCAGUGAGGAAUAUUGGUCAAUGGACGAGAGUCUGAACCAGCCAAGUAGCGUGAAGGAUGACUGCCCUAUGGGUUGUAAACUUCUUUUAUAUGGGAAUAAAAUGUUCCACGUGUGGGAUUUUGUAUGUACCAUAUGAAUAAGGAUCGGCUAACUCCGUGCCAGCAGCCGCGGUAAUACGGAGGAUCCGAGCGUUAUCCGGAUUUAUUGGGUUUAAAGGGAGCGUAGGUGGAUUGUUAAGUCAGUUGUGAAAGUUUGCGGCUCAACCGUAAAAUUGCAGUUGAAACUGGCAGUCUUGAGUACAGUAGAGGUGGGCGGAAUUCGUGGUGUAGCGGUGAAAUGCUUAGAUAUCACGAAGAACUCCGCUUGCGAAGGCAGUUCACUGGACUGCAACUGACACUGAUGCUCGAAAGUGUGGGUAUCAAACAGGAUUAGCUACCCGAGUAGUC
rnacentral:rRNA from 1 species